rnacentral:tRNA from 1 species
GCGGGUGUGGUAUAAUGGUAGCACGCGACCUUGCCAUGGUUGAGACGAGGGUUCGAUUCCCUUCACCCGCUCCA